AUUGAACGCUGGCGGCAUGCCUUACACAUGCAAGUCGAACGGUAACAGGUCUUCGGAUGCUGACGAGUGGCGAACGGGUGAGUAAUACAUCGGAACGUGCCCGAUCGUGGGGGAUAACGAAGCGAAAGCUUUGCUAAUACCGCAUAAGAUCUACGGAUGAAAGCAGGGGACCGCAAGGCCUUGCGCGAACGGAGCGGCCGAUGGCAGAUUGGGUAGUUGGUGGGAUAAAAGCUUACCAAGCCGACGAUCUGUAGCUGGUCUGAGAGGACGACCAGCCACACUGGGACUGAGACACGGCCCAGACUCCUACGGGAGGCAGCAGUGGGGAAUUUUGGACAAUGGGCGAAAGCCUGAUCCAGCCAUGCCGCGUGCAGGAUGAAGGCCUUCGGGUUGUAAACUGCUUUUGUACGGAACGAAAAGACUCUUUCUAAUAAAGAGGGUCCAUGACGGUACCGUAAGAAUAAGCACCGGCUAACUACGUGCCAGCAGCCGCGGUAAUAC
rnacentral:rRNA from 1 species